CUUGGUGCAAUGACCUAUUAAUAUCAUGCAAGACAAAAAUGUUUACUGCCGUUAAUAUUAUUCAACAUUGUAUUAGAGGUCUAGCCAGUUUCCAAAACAAGAAACAAUAUAAGAGAAAGAAAUAAAAGUUAUUUAAAAAUUGAAAAGGAAAUAAAAUUGUCAUUACCUACAGAAGAGAUUAAGAAAACUGAAGAAAAAACAACUGAAAACUAUUGAAACUUAUUUGAGAGUUCAGCAAAGUAUCCAGAUGCAAAAUCACUACACAAAAAUCAACAACUUUUCUAUAAACUAGCAUUUACCAACUAAAUAUAUUUUAGAAAAAAAAUCUUAUUCAUUAUAGAAACAAAAGCUACAAGCUACCUACAAGUAAGUCUAUCAUAAAUAUGCAAAACCUUUUUUGAGAAAAAACACACCAUUUUAUAGAAAGACAUUUUUUAAAAGAUGUUAAUAAAGGAAGAUUGAUCAUGUUCUUGGAUGGAGAGAUUCUAUACUGUACUUCAUUUCUCUCCAAAACAAUCUAUAUAUUCAAUGCAAUCUCAAUCAAAAUCUCAAUGUGACCAUAUCAAUCAGGAUCCCAGCUGGAAACCAACAGCAUAUUCCAAUUAGGAGGAAUCAAGGAGGUUUUGAUACAGAGACUAUCUACACAUGAAAUAGACAGGGUCUAGGAAAUCACAAGGAAAAGUGCCGUAUCCCAGAGCAAGCGUCACUGGGGAUAUUAUCACCCCAAGGCAUACAGGGGCAGAGGGAGAGCAGUUACCAGAAUCCAGAAGGAAGGAGCUGGGACAAGAGGGCCACCUUGAGAAGACAUGUGAUCUUCAAUAGAGGAACACAGCCAACCCCAAGCAGCCCUGCAGGCAGAGAGCCAGGAGAAUAAAUAUCCCGCUCUCAUCCUUUUCACUCCCUCAUCUUCUAUUGGAGAUCCUCCAUUGGCUCAGCUGGGUGCUGGAGAAUUGUCUGUAUAUUCCAUAGUGCUUCCCAGGGCAGUGGGCAGGGUGAAAUGUAGAGAAUGGAUCCAGAGAAGUAAAUCGAACCUACAGGCAUUACUUGCUGUGGUUGUUUAUCUAUUCUCUACCCUGUGGUGUAAAGGUGUUGUUGAAGAUGUCAUAAAGGCCUGCAGAUGCUCCCUGUAAUAUAAAAACAAAACUUUCCCUGAAGUCCCCAGCAGACUUCAACUUGUUUCUCCUUGAUCAAAAGAGUGUGAAAUGGCUGCCCUUCGCUGC
rnacentral:lncRNA from 1 species